AUGGUGUGCACUCUGACAGUAAUAAUCUCCUGCAUCUUCAGCCUGGACUUCACUGAUGCUACAGCAACACAACACAGAGAGGUUUUUGUACCAGCAGUAACGGGGAUUGUAUCACUGUGGUGGACUUUUGGUAGCGGCACCAGACUUGAUGUUGGAAGUAACAGUGCCCCCACCCUCACUGUCCUGCCCCCCUCUAGUGAGGAGCUGUCCAGUACAACAACAGCCACACUGACGUGUCUGGCCAACAAGGGCUUCCCUUCAGACUGGACCAUGAGCUGGAAAGUGGAUGGGACCAGCAAGAACCAGGAGAUCAGUUCUAGGGUCCUGGAGAAGGAUGGUCUGUACAGCUGGAGCAGCACCCUGACUCUCUCUGCCCAGGAGUGGACCAAGGCAGGAGAGGUGACCUGUGAAGCCCAGCAGAAAUUCCAGACUCCAGUCACCAAGACCCUGAGGAAGGCUGACUGUUCUGGGUAGGACCCCUCAGUCACACACCCCUGUGGAGAGAGGCUGCUGGUUCCUCUGCUUUGACUCUGUUCUGAGAUCAGAUGUUCUCUGUCUUAUUGAUCACUGACAUGUAGACUAACAGAGGGCUU